rnacentral:rRNA from 1 species
UACGGGGGGGCAAGCGUUGUUCGGAAUUACUGGGCGUAAAGGGCUCGUAGGUGGCCAACUAAGUCAGACGUGAAAUCCCUCAGCUUAACUGGGGAACUGCGUCUGAUACUGGAUGGCUUGAGUUUGGGAGAGGGACGCGGAAUUCCAGGUGUAGCGGUGAAAUGCGUAGAUAUCCGGAGGAACACCGGUGGCGAAGGCGGCUUCCUGGACCGACACUGACGCUGAGGCGCGAAAGCUAGGGGAGCAAACGGG